UAACAUCAGUAACAUCAGUAACACCAAUAUCACCAGUGUCUGCAGUGAACCAGUGCACCUGCAGUGAUAACGGGUUGAUGGUGUUCGUGACGGUGUGGCUGUUUGAGGUCAUCAUCCUGGUCUCGCUGUUGGUCGGAGCGUUUUACAUCUACACCAGAAUCUACAGGAAGCAGAGAGCAGCUGAGAGUAAGGAAUAGGAAAGGGAGGAGCCUCUGUGGACCAAUCAGAACCAAGU